rnacentral:rRNA from 1 species
UUAGGGUCGUAAAGCUCUUUCGCCUGUGAUGAUAAUGACAGUAGCAGGUAAAGAAACCCCGGCUAACUCCGUGCCAGCAGCCGCGGUAAUACGGAGGGGGUUAGCGUUGUUCGGAAUUACUGGGCGUAAAGCGCGCGUAGGCGGAUUAGAAAGUUGGGGGUGAAAUCCCGGGGCUCCACCUCGGAACUGCCUCCAAAACUGCUAGUCUAGAGUUCGAGAGAGGUGAGUGGAAUUCCGAGUGUAGAGGUGAAAUUCGUAGAUAUUCGGAGGAACACCAGUGGCGAAGGCGGCUCACUGGCUCGAUACUGACGCUGAGGUGCGAAAGUGUGGGGAGCAAACAGGAUUAGAUACCCUGGUAGUCCACACCGUAAACGAUGAAUGCCAGUCGUCGGGUAGUAUACUAUUCGGUGACACACCUAACGGAUUAAGCAUUCCGCCUGGGGAGUACGGUCGCAAGAUUAAAACUCAAAGGAAUUGACGGGG